ensembl:lncRNA
UGUACAUACACUGAGGUCACGUGACACUUUAACUGCGCACAGGUGACUUCCAUUCAACGGAUUAUGUGACUUCUGAUGGCAACUGGUUGAACCAGAACUAAUUUAGGGGUUUAACAGCAACACUGGCCUCUGACUGCUGCAAUAGGGGUUGUUUCAUGUCUGCCGAAGAAACCUGAGAAAUGAAAAAGAUUUCAGAGAAGGAUGAAUGACUUUUAUGCAAAGGAAUUUCUUUUUAUCUUGGUUAGGGUUGCGUUGAAUCCAGGAGCCCGUCCUGGGAACACUGGGCAUGAAGUGAGAAUACACCCUGGAGGGAGCUGGCAGUCCAUUGUGGAACACCAUAUGCAGAUACAUUCACAUUGAAAGGCAAUUAAUCAUAGCUACGCCAUCUACCAGCAUGAGUUUGGAAGGUGGGAGGAAACCAGAGCACCUGAAACAAGUAAUCAGAUACUGGGAGAACAUGUGAAACUCCACACAGACUCUAACCUGAGCUUGGGAUUGAACCAGUGGCUCUGAAGCUCUGAGGCUGCACAUGAUACACACUACACCACUGUCACACAGUGAUAUAAAUGUAUAUUAAAUGUACAACAGUGUUCCUUGUUCCAUAUACUAACCAUUUUGUGCCUCUAACCAGCUAACAUAAAAAAGACGUAUCUUUUAGUGUACCACACCAAUUUUAUACCAGAA